GAAUGCUGACAUAAGUAACGAUAAAGCGGGUGAAAAGCCCGCUCGCCGGAAGACCAAGGGUUCCUGUCCAACGUUAAUCGGGGCAGGGUGAGUCGACCCCUAAGGCGAGGCCGAAAGGCGUAGUCGAUGGGAAACGGGUUAAUAUUCCCGUACUUGGUGUUACUGCGAAGGGGGGACGGAGAAGGCUAUGUUGGCCGGGCGACGGUUGUCCCGGUUUAAGCGUGUAGGUGUGUGUUCCAGGUAAAUCCGGUUCACUUUAACACUGAGGCGUGAUGACGAGGCACUACGGUGCUGAAGCAACAAAUGCCCUGCUUCCAGGAAAAGCCUCUAAGCAUCAGGUAACAUCAAAUCGUACCCCAAACCGACACAGGUGGUCAGGUAGAGAAUACCAAGGCGCUUGAGAGAACUCGGGUGAAGGAACUAGGCAAAAUGGUGCCGUAACUUCGGGAGAAGGCACGCUGACACGUAGGUGAAGUGAUUUACUCACGGAGCUGAAGUCAGUCGAAGAUACCAGCUGGCUGCAACUGUUUAUUAAAAACACAGCACUGUGCAAACACGAAAGUGGACGUAUACGGUGUGACGCCUGCCCGGUGCCGGAAGGUUAAUUGAUGGGGUCAGCGCAAGCGAAGCUCCUGAUCGAAGCCCCGGUAAACGGCGGCCGUAACUAUAACGGUCCUAAGGUAGCGAAAUUCCUUGUCGGGUAAGUUCCGACCUGCACGAAUGGCGUAAUGAUGGCCAGGCUGUCUCCACCCGAGACUCAGUGAAAUUGAACUCGCUGUGAAGAUGCAGUGUACCCGCGGCAAGACGGAAAGACCCCGUGAACCUUUACUAUAGCUUGACACUGAACAUUGAGCCUUGAUGUGUAGGAUAGGUGGGAGGCUUUGAAGUGUGGACGCCAGUCUGCAUGGAGCCGACCUUGAAAUACCACCCUUUAAUGUUUGAUGUUCUAACGUGGACCCGUGAUCCGGGUUGCGGACAGUGUCUGGUGGGUAGUUUGACUGGGGCGGUCUCCUCCUAAAGAGUAACGGAGGAGCACGAAGGUUGGCUAAUCCUGGUCGGACAUCAGGAGGUUAGUGCAAUGGCAUAAGCCAGCUUGACUGCGAGCGUGACGGCGCGAGCAGGUGCGAAAGCAGGUCAUAGUGAUCCGGUGGUUCUGAAUGGAAGGGCCAUCGCUCAACGGAUAAAAGGUACUCCGGGGAUAACAGGCUGAUACCGCCCAAGAGUUCAUAUCGACGGCGGUGUUUGGCACCUCGAUGUCGGCUCAUCACAUCCUGGGGCUGAAGUAGGUCCCAAGGGUAUGGCUGUUCGCCAUUUAAAGUGGUACGCGAGCUGGGUUUAGAACGUCGUGAGACAGUUCGGUCCCUAUCUGCCGUGGGCGCUGGAGAACUGAGGGGGGCUGCUCCUAGUACGAGAGGACCGGAGUGGACGCAUCACUGGUGUUCGGGUUGUCAUGCCAAUGGCACUGCCCGGUAGCUAAAUGCGGAAGAGAUAAGUGCUGAAAGCAUCUAAGCACGAAACUUGCCCCGA
rnacentral:rRNA from 2 species